rnacentral:rRNA from 1 species
CAGCAGCCGCGGUAAUACGUAGGUGGCAAGCGUUGUCCGGAAUUAUUGGGCGUAAAGGGCGCGCAGGCGGCCGAUUAAGUCUGAUGUGAAAUCCCACGGCUUAACCGUGGAAGGUCAUUGGAAACUGAUUGGCUUGAGUGCAGAAGAGGAGAGUGGAAUUCCACGUGUAGCGGUGAAAUGCGUAGAUAUGUGGAGGAACACCAGUGGCGAAGGCGGCUCUCUGGUCUGCAACUGACGCUGAGGCGCGAAAGCGUGGAUAGCAAACAGGAUUAGAUACCCUGGUAGUCCACGCUGUAAACGAUGAGUGCUAAGUGUCAGGGGGUUUCCGCCCCUUGGUGCUGGAGUUAACGCAUUAAGCACUCCGCCUGGGGAUUACGGCCGCAAGGCUGAAACUCAAAGGAAUUGACGGGGGCCCGCACAAGCGGUGGAGCAUGUGGUUUAAUUCGAAGCUACGCGAAGAACCUUACCAGGUCUUGACAUCCUCUGCUACUUUUAGAGAUAAAAGGUUCCCCUUCGGGGGACAGAGUGACAGGUGGUGCAUGGUUGUCGUCAGCUCGUGUCGUGAGAUGUUGGGUUAAGUCCCGCAACGAGCGCAACCCUUAGUUUUAGUUGCCAGCACGUAAAGGUGGGCACUCUAGAGCGACUGCCGGUGACAAACCGGAGGAAGGUUGGGAUGACGUCAAAUCAUCAUGCCCCUUAUGACCUGGGCUACACACGUGCUACAAUGGAUGGUACAACGGGGAGCGAAGCCGUGAGGCGGAGCAAAUCUCAGAAAACCAUUCUCAGUUCGGAUUGCAGGCUGCAACUCGCCUGCAUGAAGUCGGAAUCGCUAGUAAUCGCGGAUCAGCAUGCCGCGGUGAAUUCGUUCCCGGGCCUUGUACACACCGCCCGUCACACCACGAGAGUUUGUAACACCCGAAGUCGGUGAGGCAACCAUUUGGAGCCAGCCGCCGAAGGUGGGACAAAUGAUUGGGGUG